UUUCUGGUACUACCGAAAAAAUAAGCCAAGCAAUCUGAUCCUAUAGCUCAUGAUUGCAAUGGUGAAUGUGGAACACGAUUUGCAUAUGGCCGAAGGGGAAGGAGAAUGGAGCUAUUCAAAGAAUUCUAGGCGCCAAGUGAUUGUUAUUCUCCCCCUUUUCAACAAUGAAACUAUUUCUUUAUGUAGUUUCGUUAUUUGUCAUUUUGCAUGUACUUGUAUUAAGUUUAUAAGCAAUGAUGCAUGACAUAUGCAACAUCUAUAGUUAAUCCCUACCAGCAUUAUAAUCGUCUGCAAUUGUUUAUUAGGAACUCAUUUCAUGAAAUAUGAGCUGUAUAUAAAAUAUUACCACUUGUCCAUUAUGUUAUUCUAAGAACUAUUAUUUUUUUGCUCCAUUCUACAGGAGAUUUUUAUACAUGAGACUAAGCCCAUCAUUGAGAGUGCUAUAAUAGAAGUAUACACUGCUCUACUACCCAAAACCAUGGUCAUUGUUGACCUAGGAUGCUCUUCAGGACCAAACACAUUACUCUUUAUCUCCAAUGUGAUUCUGUGGAACUUCAGUUCAUCCUGAAUGACCUUCCAGGUAAUGAUUUCAACGAACUCUUCCGGGCAGUCGAAAAGUUUAAAAAGUCAGAUACAACAGAUCAACUUGGACGUGCACCACCUUUCUACUACAUAUCUGGGUUGCCAGAAUCCUAUUACAAAAGACUUUUUCCUCAUCAAAGCGUACAUCUCUUCCACUCUUCAUACUGCCUUCACUGGCGCUCCCAGGUACCUGGGGGGAGAGACGCUUAUUUAAAUAAAGAUAAUAUAUACAUCACAUAUACCACAACGCUUGCUGAGGUCAAGCAAUUCCAAGAGCAGUUCCAUAAGGACUUCUCCCUCUUCCUGAAGCUGCGUCAUGAAGAACUUGUGUAUGGUGGGAAAAUGGUUCUUAUAUUUCUUGGGAGGGAGGAUGAGGAUGCAUGCAAUGGAGACCUUAAUAAACUUUUUGGAUUGGUUGCAAGAUCACUUCAAUCUCUUGUUCUUAAGGGCCUUGUGGAGAAGCAAAAACUAGAAUCCUUCAAUCUACCGGUCUAUGGGCCAUCAGUUGCGGAAGUGAAGGAAGUAGUCAUGCAAAGCAAGCUUUUCAGCAUGGAUCAGAUCAAGCUAUUUGAGGCAAACUGGGAUCCUUUCGAUGAUUCGGAAGGUGAUGAUGUUCACGAUAUUGCCUGCAGUAGCUUGAAUAUUGCUAGGGGCUUAAGAUCAGUGCUGAAGUCCCUGAUUGCAAGCCAUUUUGAGGAAGCCAUUGCAAAGCACCUUGAAGUGGAGAAGACCAAGUAUGCACUCAUCGCCACAUCCUUAAAGAAAAUAUAAUAGUGCUACAACGGUGUUGUUUCUCAAGUUUCUGCUGUUCUACAGGGUGUUGUUCCUCAAAUUUCUGCUGUUCUACAUGUUUCUGUUUUCUUGGCUUGUUUUCUUCUCUGCUUGUAGCCAAAAACUCUUAUGGUUUGUAAGGUAUGGUAUUUUGGUUG